rnacentral:rRNA from 1 species
UGGCUCAGAGCGAACGCUGGCGGCAGGCCUAACCCUUGCAAGUCGAGCGCCGUAGCAAUACGGAGCGGCAGACGGGAGAGUAACACGUGGGAACGUGCCCUUCAGUUCGGAACAACCCAGGGAAACUUGGGCUAAUACCGGAUACGUCCGUAAGGAGAAAGAUUUAUCGCUGAAGGAUCGGCCCGCGUCUGAUUAGCUAGUUGGUGGGGUAACGGCCCACCAAGGCGACGAUCAGUAGCUGGUCUGAGAGGAUGAUCAGCCUCACUGGGACUGAGACACGGCCCAGACUCCUACGGGAGGCAGCAGUGGGGAAUAUUGGACAAUGGGCGCAAGCCUGAUCCAGCCAUGCCGCGUGGGUGAUGAAGGCCCUAGGGUUGUAAAGCCCUUUCGGCGGGGAAGAUAAUGACGGUACCCGCAGAAGAAGCCCCGGCUAACUUCGUGCCAGCAGCCGCGGUAAUACGAAGGGGGCUAGCGCUGUUCGGAAUUACUGGGCGUAAAGCGCGUGUAGGCGGGUGUUUAAGUCAGGGGUGAAAUGCCGAGGCUCAACCUUGGAACUGCCUUUGAUACUGGAGAUCUGGAGUCCGGGAGAGGUGAGUGGAACUGCGAGUGUAGAGGUGAGAUUCGUAGAUAUUCGCAAGAACACCAGUGGCGAAGGCGGCUCACUGGCCCGGAACUGACGCUCAGACGCGCAAGCGUGAGGAGCAAACAGGAUUAGAUACCCUG